UUUUCUUUUUUCUUUUUCUUUUUCUUUUUCUUUUCUUUUCUCUUCUUUUCUUUUCUUUUCGAUCCAUUUCUGGAAAGUUCUCAGAGUUUUUAGAUUUGCAUUGGCUUCUUCUUAUCUUUUCUAACUCCUUAGCUGUUUUCUAGUCUUUUAAUGUAUCAGCUAUGUCUUUAGUAAGAUUUGCUUCAUGAUUCCACAUCAUUCCACUUGCAUAUAGUACAAGACUGAUUUAUAUGUAGUCACUUGAAUUCUGGAAAUCAAUGCCUACUAGUGAUUUUUUUCUAAAAAAUCUAAAGGAUUUUUCCUAAAGGAUUUUUUUUCUAAAGGAUUAAUCUAAAGGAUCUGAGAAAAUCUUGCAAAAAAAAAAUGGAGUUUUGGACAGAGUGUACAAAAUAGGGAUGAAUAUCUGUGGGGAAGCUGCACAAUAUUAUUCUCUUAUACAGGAUCAUUGACAAGCUAAAGAGAAAGGAAUGGGUCAGCCAGUCUUCUUUAAUAUGAUGCUUUUCUGAAGCAUCAAAGGCUUUAGACCAGAUAUCCUGGUGACUAGAUAAUCAAAAACCCAAGCAGCUGCCCCUAUCUGAUCACCCACUUCUUCCACUGCUUUUGAUAUUCUAUAACUGUUACUGUGACUUAAAAUCCACUACUAGGUAUUCUACACAAAAAUUUAAAGUAAUACAAGGUUGUAGACUAUGCUAUUGAUAAUAACUAUAUCCAAUUCAUACAAACAGAAUAAUAACCAUCUAGUUCCUCAUUUAGAAUACACUUAUGUGUCUCUUUGCUCCCUUAUGUGAGAAGUUUACACAUUAAACAUUGACUGGAUGUAGACUACUGCUUAUCUAAAUUAAAAAUAUUGCAAAGUAACUUUGAACCAUAGUAACUCUCCAUAAAACCAGCAAUGAAUUUGUCUUUGAAAUAUAUGAAAGCACAUUUUUUACCUACCCAUACUCAGCUGCUUUCUACACUGGGAAACAAUCCUGUUUCAUAUGGAUCUGAGGGCAUAACUUCAUAUCUUGCUACAAAUAAAAUGAUAAUGUCUGACCAAGGCAGUCUAUUUUUCUUGGGAGUCUUCUAAGAGAAAAGGCAAGUGAUAAGGCGCCAGACAUGCAUCUUAAACAAAAAUGACCAGAAAAUCCAAAGCUGACAACCUACCUAACUAGCUCCUUCUGGCAGGUUGAUGCACAAUUAAUCUUCAGGUUGGACGUGUCUCUGCCUAGAAUGCCUACUUCUUUCCAGAGCUAUCUUGGCUUUUAAUAACUAUGGAAUGCUUCAUUCUGUAAAGUAGACCCUUCAAGAAGAAUUAUAUCCAUUAAAAAAUAGGUAUUAUGUACCAGAAAAAUAUAGCUGUUUCUAUUUAAUAAUUUUUAAAGAGUGUGCACCUAGAUUACCUUUCCAUUUGCAACUGGGAUUUAUUUCAGCAGGAUAUGCAGAAUGUCAACUUAUGGGCCAAUAACCAUUUCCAUGAAAAUAUCUCCAUUUAUCAAUAUUUAAUUGGGAUUUGUUGUCUUUGAAGUCUGCAAGUGCUGAUGCUCUGAGCCAUGUCAUGUCUGCAAUUAUAUGAUGUCCCAUAUUUCUUUGCUUAUGCCUGUUUCUUUGUCUGCUAUGCCUCAGUGUUUCUCCCCUGUCCAGUGACCUAUCAGUAGUCAACUCAAGCACCCAGUCACUCACUAGAGUAUCCAGUACACCACCAGAUGAACUCUGGGGAUACUUUUUCUCUUGGCAUAGAAUAUGCUUUCAAAGUGGUUCCAUUUUGUUUUCAUUACAUUUUGUUGUAAUUACAUUAUUUGGCUUUCAUUUUUCCUACUCACAGUAGGAAUGGCCCAGCUAAUGAUAUCAGAAGUAAAAAUACCGAUGUAUUUCCCUAGCAAAUAGUGUCGCCAAUACAGGCCAGAUACUUUUGGAAUAUGCGCUGUAGGGGGAGUUUCUGUUGAAAUAUUCCUGUGAAUAAUCUAUUAACAGCUACUAUUUAUGUUGUUGUCAUUUAUAUUCAUACAAAGGUGAGGGUUGGGAAAGCUGAUUGUUAUGGAAACCGAUUUGCUUUCUAUUAGAAAAGGACUUCCUGUAUGCUUUUUAACUCAUUUUCCUAGAAAGGCAGAUGCAUUAAUGUUCACCUCUAUCAGACCUUGUGUCUUAAAGGAAAUCACCCUUUCACAAGCAUGGAUACUUCAGGGAAAUUUCAUCCUAACC
rnacentral:lncRNA from 1 species